rnacentral:tmRNA from 1 species
CCCCUUCCAAGCGGGAGGGGGAGCGCCUAUAUUCCGGGUGCCGGCGCAAGCCGGCUACGGCGAUAAACGGUUACCGCAAUAAACCUUUCGGACCCGGGGGCAGUACCCGGCGCCUCCACCCGAGCCCAUCCCGCCCGCCUUUCGGCCCGGUGGGUUCCGGCGGGGGCGAAACAGGAUCGACGAGGGCGUAAAGGGUAGGCUUUCGCUCGGCAUGGUACCGCCGUCAUCGGACCAAACAUAUAGUUGCCAACGACAACUAUGCUCCGGUUGCUCAGGCCGCGUGAGCGGUUUGAUCUCUGGGAAAUAAGUCCUUGCGGGUAGCACUGUAAGGCGGGGUUCGGAGGCACCUGGCAACAGAAGCCUCCACU